rnacentral:rRNA from 1 species
GAUGAACGCUGGCGGCGUGCCUAAUACAUGCAAGUCGAGCGAACAGACGAGGAGCUUGCUCCUCUGACGUUAGCGGCGGACGGGUGAGUAACACGUGGAUCACCUACCUAUCAGACUGGGAUAACUUCGGGAAACCGGAGCUAAUACCGGAUAAUAUAUUGAACCGCAUGGUUCAAUAGUGAAAUACGGUUUUGCUGUAACUUAUAGAUGGAUCCGGGCCGUUUUAGCUAGUUGGUAAGGUAACGGGUUACGACGGCAACGAGGCGUAGCCGACCUGAGAGAGUGAUAGGCCACACUGGAACGGAGACAGCGUCAAGACGCCUACGGGAGGCAGCAGUAGGGAAUCGGCCGCAAUGGGCGAAAGCCUGACGGAGUAAGGGCGCGUGAGUUAUGACGGUCUCCGGAUCGGAAAACUCUCUUAUUAGGGAAGAACAAAUGUGUAAGGAACUAUGGACGGCUUGACGGUAACUAAUCAGAAAGCCACGGCUAACUACGUG